rnacentral:rRNA from 1 species
UACGUAGGGGCCUAGCGUUGUCCGGAUUUAUUGGGCGUAAAGAGCUCGUAGGCGGCUUGUCGCGUCGAAUGUGAAAACUCGGGGCUCAACCCCGAGCCUACAGUCGAUACGGGGCAGACUAGAGUGCUGUAGGGGAGACUGGAAUUCCUGGUGUAGCGGUGAAAUGCGCAGAUAUCAGGAGGGACACCGAUGGCGAAGGCAGAUCUCUGGGCCAUUACUGACGCUGAGGAGCGAAAGCAUGGGGAGCGAACAGG